rnacentral:rRNA from 1 species
AAUGAACGCUGGCGGCGUGCCUAACACAUGCAAGUCGAGCGAGAAAGUCUCUUCGGAGAUAAGUACAGCGGCGGACGGGUGAGUAACGCGUGAGAAUUUACCCUUUAGUGAAGAAUACCUCUGAGAAAUCAGGGUUAAUACUGCAUACGUCCCUACGGGGAGAAAGGUGGCCUCUUUGCUGCCGCUAAAGGAUAAGCUUGCGUACUAUUAGCUAGUUGGUGAGGUAAAGGCUCACCAAGGCGAUGAUGGUUAGCCGGCCUGAGAGGGUGUACGGCCACACUGGAACUUAGACACGGUCCAGACUCCUACGGGAGGCAGCAGUGAGGAAUAUUGCGCAAUGGGCGAAAGCCUGACGCAGCGACGCCGCGUGGAGGAUGAAGGUCUUCGGAUUGUAAACUCCUGUUAAGUGGGAAGAAAGACCUAUUCUAAUACAGAUAGGGGAUGUCGGUACCAUUAGAGAAAGCACCGGCUAACUUCGUGCCAGCAGCCGCGGUAAU